rnacentral:rRNA from 1 species
GAUGAACGCUAGCUACAGGCUUAACACAUGCAAGUCGAGGGGCAGCAUGGUCUUAGCUUGCUAAGGCCGAUGGCGACCGGCGCACGGGUGAGUAACACGUAUCCAACCUGCCGUCUACUCUUGGACAGCCUUCUGAAAGGAAGAUUAAUACAAGAUGGCAUCAUGAGUCCGCAUGUUCACAUGAUUAAAGGUAUUCCGGUAGACGAUGGGGAUGCGUUCCAUUAGAUAGUAGGCGGGGUAACGGCCCACCUAGUCUUCGAAGGAUAGGGGUUCUGAGAGGAAGGUCCCCCACAUUGGAACUGAGACACGGUCCAAACUCCUACGGGAGGCAGCAGUGAGGAAUAUUGGUCAAUGGGCGCAGGCCUGAACCAGCCAAGUAGCGUGAAGGAUGACUGCCCUAUGGGUUGUAAACUUCUUUUAUAAAGGAAUAAAGUCGGGUAUGUAUACCCGUUUGCAUGUACUUUAUGAAUAAGGAUCGGCUAACUCCGUG